rnacentral:lncRNA from 1 species
ACAUUUUCAAAUGUGUGUUUUGUCUGGAUGAAUGAAACAAAGUCAGGUGUUGUGAUUUAUUUUUAUUUUUUUUUUUCACAGCAGAGAAAUUAAUUGCUGAAAGCAGCUAUUUUUAACAAGAAAGCAAAGACUAAAAAUCCCUAAAAGAGGCUGGUCUUUGCAGGGCAUAAGCAUAUCUGACCCCUUUUUAGGUAACCCCUGAACAGUUUGCCUUUGUUAUUCUAUCAGUGGACCUGUAGCAAGAGUGACAACCUAAAUACAAACCUCCCAGUUCCCCAGCCAAGCCCCAACCUUCUGCAGGCACUUAUUCUGAUUUACAAAUGGUACUUUUAAGAGUCUGCUGCUUUUGACUUUUAUUCAUAGAAAUGAAAAGCGGGGUAAAUCUGGAGAAGCAGUGAAGAGAGAAGCAACAAUAUCCCUAACAUUUGGAGGCAAAUGUUGCACUUAUGGAAAAUAUGCAACAAAAAUGAAGCGAGGGUGGAAGGCGCUCCAAAUGUUAAAUAUUCAUUAGUAUUCCCUACGCUGCGUGUUCUAAAUAUAAGAUGCGUUUCAGCGCAGCCCCUGUGUAUGGCUGGGAUGCCUCCCUCUCCUAUAUAUGAUGCCAGAGCGAUUCGGAUGGUGGGGAAGUCGCCAUGGCAACACCUUGAUGCUACCUUUUGUUCGCCAGAUGAAAUGACCAGGGGUGGAGAACCCGAGAUAGGCCGGGUGCUGCUGACCAGACUCUGAGUCAAAUGCUGCUCUCCUCCCCAGAUAAAAAAAGGAUGGGAAAGCAAGCGUUCACAUGCUCCUUUUGCCUCUGCAGUGCCUUUGAUCUGAAAACAGCAGGAAGAGAGGCUGUAGAACAAGUCUGUGGUAACCUGAGCACCGCCGUGUGUCGCGGCCCAAGGGAGGAACGAAGUGUCAGGCCACGGCCCGUGCUAUCGCAGCACUGCUGUGCUGGCUACCAUGGCUAAAACCACUGUGUUAAAGUAAACACACACAUCUCUGGCUCAAACAGGUGUAGAGGCAUUGCUCUGAAUGAGACUGGGGGUUGCAAAAAGGUUUGGAUAUGUGCAGGGAGGGUGGUGGUCCUGCUGCUGGUCACUCAAAGGACAGGUCAGUGGCUGCAUGGGCUGAAGCCGAGCAUUGGCCCAGACAGUGGUAGAGCUCAAGUCCUACUUGGUGCCUGGAGACUGAGAGGAGGAUGAAAUAGGACACAUGACCCCAUCCAUUUGCUGCCACUCCAGCUCUUACGUCUGCUGGAAAUGACCAGCCCUGGUGCUUUCUGAGAUAACCACUUCAGAAUUCACUCAGGCAGAACCAGUUGGGUUUGCUGGUCCCACUGCUGAUGGUGGAUGUGGACAGAUCUCACUGUCACACACCACUGCAGCUGUGGCACACAGCAUCCCUAUAGGACUCAUAACCAUCUUCGGGAAGUGUCGUGGAGGGACAAGGGUCCCCAGUGCACAGGCUGAGCUGUGGAUCUGCUCAGACAGCCCCAUCCUCUUCCUCAUUCCUGCCCGUCCUGCUGGGCUGGGCUCUGCUCUGACUCAUGCACUAUCAGCAAUUCCCUGGUCCGUUCACAUCAGAGUCUUUGAGUGCUGCUGAACCAGAAAGGCCGUGGCUUGCUUUUCUGGUCCCCGGCUGGAUUACUCCUCUGGCCUUCAGGAAAAGCAUCUUUUUUUUCUUUCUUUUUUUUUUUUUUUGUAAACAAAUAACACAGGAAACUUCAUGAGGCACUGUGGUU